GACAGAGGGUGCAAACGUUGUUCGGAAUUACUGGGCGUAAAGCGCGUGUAGGCUGCUCGGAAAGUCGGAUGUGAAAGCCCUGGGCUCAACCUAGGAAGUGCAUUCGAAACUUCCGAGCUGGAGUGCUGGAGAGGAAGGCGGAAUUCUCGGUGUAGAGGUGAAAUUCGUAGAUAUCGAGAGGAACACCGGUGGCGAAGGCGACAUCCUGGACCGGUAUUGACGCUGAGGCGCGAAAGCCAGGGGAGCAAACAGG
rnacentral:rRNA from 1 species